CUCUGAUUGAGAACCAUACUUAGGCAGCCUGUUUCCCCCCUGUUAGUUGUGGGUAGUUGUUGUCUCUGAUUGAGAACCAUACUUAGGCAGCCUGUUUUCCCCCUGUUAGUUGUGGGUAGUUGUUGUCUCUGAUUGAGAACCAUACUUAGGCAGCCUGUUUUCCCCCUGUUAGUUGUGGGUAGUUGUUGUCUCUGAUUGAGAACCAUACUUAGGCAGCCUGUUUUCCCCCUGUUAGUUGUGGGUAGUUGUUGUCUCUGAUUGAGAACCAUACUUAGGCAGCCUGUUUUCCCCCUGUUAGUUGUGGGUAGUUGUUGUCUCUGAUUGAGAACCAUACUUAGGCAGCCUGUUUUCCCCCUGUUAGUUGUGGGUAGUUGUUGUCUCUGAUUGAGAACCAUACUUAGGCAGCCUGUU